UUCAUAAAUUCUAAAAAUCAACAGUAUUACAUUAAUUAAAUAUAAUCAAUUCAAUAACAAAAAUUACCAAAUAAACUAACUAACUGUAGAAAGAAAAAUGUUCAAUGACAAGAACCCCAGCAACCCAGUAAACAGAAAAAUGUUCAAUGACAAGAAAUAGCAGUAGAAGGAGAGGGAAGAGUUGUCUCCCACUUACCCGAGACAUCGCCGGUGCCGACUACCGGCACUCAUCAGUGAAGUGGGGGAGAGAGGUCUUGACUGGGAAGUGGGAGAUGUCGCCGACGAGAGAGAAGGAGAUAUCGCACUGCGGAGAGAGAAGAUUUAUCGGGAAGAGAAAGGAGACGUAGCCGGUGUCGAUUGGGCUGCCGGCAGUCGUCAAUGAAGUGGGGGAGAGGCGUCGACGAAGAGAGGAAAUGGACGCGAGAGGCGUCGACGAAGAGAGGAAAGGGAUGCGAGGGAGAGAGGCGUCGACGAAGAGAGGAAAGGAACGCGAGAGGCGUCGACGAAGAGAGGAAAGGAACGCAAGGGAGAGAGGCACCGACGACGGAGAGAGAAAAGAGUAAAAUGAAAAAGGAAAUUAGGGUUAGUUUGUUAAUAUAGGUAAUCGGAUUCGGAUAACGGGUAUCCGAUUAUCUAAUUUCGAACCCUACCCGAAUUUGAAACGGGUAAAAGUUUUUAAAUUCGAAUCCGCCCAAAUCCAUUUUGUAAAAACCCAAAUCCGUCAUAAUAGGAUUUGGACGGAUCGGAUACCCAUAAAAACCCGCACGCCUAACAUCCCUAUUUUGAAGCAUCUACAGUGUAAGCAAAACGUUUGUCUCUUGGAGAAAGGGUUUCUUUGAUUCCAUCUAUCUCACUCAGCUUUCCCAUCCAUUUCCAUACAACUGGAAAUUUCUCUUCACUGAUCAACUCUAUUCGCAUAACUUCAUGACGUAUUUGAAAGAAAUAUAAUACAGAAAACGCCACAAUAUCUAGGUAUCCAACACCUUCACCUCCAAAGAAAUCAUUUUCUUUGAGCUGGUUCUCUAGCAGCCUCUGUUGUUCACCAAUUUCUUCCAUGAUAUGCUCUUUCUCCUCUCCUGUGGCUGCACUACCCUUCAGAGCUGUCUGCAAGAUCUGCACAAAUUCUCAAUCCUAGUUAGAAACUCCAGCUAUGCCCAUGUAACUCAUUCUUCUAAUUAAAAAGAAAGUGUAUAAUUUACCUUUUGGUCUACAAAUGCAGCCCAGAAACGUGCUAUGGCUCGGUGGCGGGGUUCUUUAGGCAAGAAAGGAUUAUUUGCCAG
rnacentral:lncRNA from 1 species